UGGGUGUGUAGAAUUUUCUGAGGUUUUAUAGUUUGGAGAAACCAAAUUCUUGAAGUAGAAGUGAGUGGUGGCGUCCUGUUAAAAGAAUAAGGGUUUUUUUUUAAGGAAAAAAAAGGGUUAACAAAGUCAUUAGAUAUUGGGAUCCGGAUUCUCUCCUUCCCCAACUGUCUCCAUCUCUCUCCUUCUCUCAAUCUUGACAGUUCGAUCGAUCUCGUGGUUGAAGUUUUUACCGCUAUUUAGGUGGAGUGACUUAAAAAAAAGGUGGGGUGACUAAAUUUUGUGACAAAUUUGUGGAUACUUAAAAAUAGUUUUUUUUAAAGUAAAAAAAAAAAAAAAUUCAAUUGAUUUUUUUUGUGUAUAAUGAAAUUGAAGAUCGAAUUCAUAAUCUCUAUCAUACUACUCAAAUAAUUACCAAAUCUAGUGGCUUAUCGGUUAAUUGGUCAGUAAUCGAACCCUUAAUCACUUUUAUGGACUCAAAACUCAAGAGGUUGUGUUCCUUGAGUCUCUUUGUAUAGCUACAAGAUCAAUCCUGAUAUUCAAUAUCAUUAUAUUGUGACUAUAUAUAUAUAUACACGAAGAUGAAUUGAAUUAUUCAAGUAUAAAAUGGUCAUGCUAAAUAGUGCACUCGGUGCACUUGUUAAGCAUACCAAAAAAAAAAUAUUCAAAAAAUAACUUUUUAUACUUUUGAGGUAUUGAAUGCACGCAUUUCGAGUCAGAAUUUCUAUUUUUAAUUGCUUAACCAGUGGCGAUUCCAGUAAUAUUAGAGAGCCUAGGCAAAAUUUUGGAGGGAAUUUUAUCAACCAAAUUUCUAGAUACAAUAAUAUUUAAAAGACAAAGUUGUUUCUGCAAUUCAAAAACAUAUUUAAAUNNNNNNNNNNNNNNNNNNNNNNNNNNNNNNNNNNNNNNNNNNAAUGCAGUCAAUAAAUAAGUUUUAAAUCAUAACCGUCUGAUCUUGAUCAGACGGCUGUAGAUGGCCUGAAUGCAUGACUGCACCAAAAAGGUGACUGCACGGAAUCCGGGUCCGUGUGGAACGACGUGAUUUUUCUCAACUGUGAACUGCGUGAAUUUGUUGCUUUUCCUUGGAGAAGCAUUUUGAUACGUUGGAUUGGUUUAACGGUUCAGAUUUUUUUAACUGCGUGUAACUGUGGGAUAUAUGGACAGCAGCAAAUCCAAAUCCAUUUAGGUGGAGUGACUUAAAAAAAAGGUGGGGUGACUAAAUUUUGUGACAAAUUUGUGGAUACAUAAAAAUAGUUUUUUUUAAAGU
rnacentral:lncRNA from 1 species